rnacentral:rRNA from 1 species
GCCGAAAAGGUUGGCUAAUACCGCGUACGCUUCCGGGACUGCGGUUUCGGAAGGAAAGCGAUACCGUGGGUAUCGCGCUCUUGGAUGGGCUCAUGCCCUAUCAGCUUGUUGGUGAGGUAACGGCUCACCAAGGCAUCGACGGGUAGCUGAUCUGAGAGGAUGAUCAGCCACACUGGCACUGCGACACGGGCCAGACUCCUACGGGAGGCAGCAGUAAGGAAUAUUGCGCAAUGGGCGAAAGCCUGACGCAGCGACACCGCGUGGGGGAUGAAGGUCUUCGGAUUGUAAACCCCUUUCGGGAGGGAAGAUGGGAUGGGGUAACCCAUUCUGGACGGUACCUCCAGAAGCAGCCACGGUCUAACUUCGUGCCAGCAGGCGCGGUAAUACGAAGGGCGGCAAGCGUUGUUUCGGAAUUUACUGGGCGUACAGGGAACCGUAGGCGGUUGGAUAAACCCCUCCGUGAAAUCUUCCAAGGCCUUAACCUGGAAAGUGCAGAGGGGGACUGUUCCAUCUAGAGGACUGGAAAAGGAACGCGGAAUUCCCGGUGUACCGUGAAAUGCGUAAAGAUCGGGAAGAAGGCCGUGGCAAAGGCGCCCUCUGGAAC